UCUACCCACUUUCCUAGCCCAGGACCUGCCGCUCACAUGCAGCUCAUCGGAUGCCAAGCGACACAGCUGAUGCCUCCGGGCCCAUCUGUUCAGACCCAACCCGAAAGCCGAGAAACAAAAGAGACCCUCAGAAUACUGAAGUCAGAAAUGGACAUUUAACCAUGUGGGAACAUGAUCAAAGCCGUGAAUGAGCAAGUCACCUGUGAAGGAGCAGCAUGGAGCUGCCCUCUUCAGCCAGCUGCCCUCUUCUCCCGCUCGCGUGGGCGUGGCCGGGCCAGCACCCACGGCCUGUGAGGAUGCUUCUGCACCGGGCUCCAGGGCGCUGACGUCUGCCCCGUUGUCACGAUCUUCCUCUAGUCCUCAGCUGUACGCUGCCGCCCACAGUGAGACUGUGCUGCCGCGGCCAGGGCGAAUCUGCUAAGGGCUGCGUGGCUGAGCCGCUUCUGUAUGGUUAUGCUCCCUAAGCUGAUCACAGGAAGGUCGUUUGGAUAUUCUGCUAUUUUCUGUUUCCUUCGCAAUUCUUUUCCAAUGGCAAACAUCCAAAAGGGCGAAAGGCAUUAAGUAUGAAAUUUAAUGUGCUGUCUAGCAUAUGCACGGUCACUGCUGUUCACCGGGCAGCUCCGAGCUUGACUUUUCAAUGCAAAAAAGGAUUUGUCUUUUUGUCUGUCUGUCUCUGUCUGCCUCUGCCAUUUCACCUCGUACAACCACUGAAUAUUUUCCCAACCUAGUACCUCUUACGAUGAUGGAAUACUGGCCUUUCCAGUAACAGACCCCAGCCUUGGGCCCCACUAAGACUGUGUUCCCACCGUGGCAUGCAAAUAACCAUCCCUUCCUCCCUUUGGUCUUUGGGGACACUA